AUGAACGCUGGCGGCGUGCUUAACACAUGCAAGUCGAGCGAAGCAGUUAAGAAGAUUCUUCGGAUGAUUCUUAACUGACUGAGCGGCGGACGGGUGAGUAACGCGUGGGUGACCUGCCCCAUACCGGGGGAUAACAGCUGGAAACGGCUGCUAAUACCGCAUAAGCGCACAGAGCUGCAUGGCUCGGUGUGAAAAACUCCGGUGGUAUGGGAUGGGCCCGCGUCUGAUUAGGCAGUUGGCGGGGUAACGGCCCACCAAACCGACGAUCAGUAGCCGGCCUGAGAGGGCGACCGGCCACAUUGGGACUGAGACACGGCCCAAACUCCUACGGGAGGCAGCAGUGGGGAAUAUUGCACAAUGGGGGAAACCCUGAUGCAGCGACGCCGCGUGAGCGAAGAAGUAUUUCGGUAUGUAAAGCUCUAUCAGCAGGGAAGAUAAUGACGGUACCUGACUAAGAAGCCCCGGCUAACUACGUGCCAGCAGCCGCGGUAAUACGUAGGGGGCAAGCGUUAUCCGGAUUUACUGGGUGUAAAGGGAGCGUAGACGGCAAGGCAAGUCUGAUGUGAAAACCCAGGGCUUAACCCUGGGACUGCAUUGGAAACUGUCUGGCUCGAGUGCCGGAGAGGUAAGCGGAAUUCCUAGUGUAGCGGUGAAAUGCGUAGAUAUUAGGAAGAACACCAGUGGCGAAGGCGGAUUACUGGACGGUAACUGACGUUGAGGCUCGAAAGCGUGGGGAGCAAACAGGAUUAGAUACCCUGGUAGUCCACGCUGUAAACGAUGAUUACUAGGUGUGGGGGGUCUGACCCCUUCCGUGCCGGAGUUAACACAAUAAGUAAUCCACCUGGGGAGUACGACCGCAAGGUUGAAACUCAAAGGAAUUGACGGGGGCCCGCACAAGCAGUGGAGUAUGUGGUUUAAUUCGAUGCAACGCGAAGAACCUUACCAGGGCUUGACAUAUAGAGGAAUAUAUAAGAGAUUAUGUAGCUCUUCGGAGUCUCUAUACAGGUGGUGCAUGGUUGUCGUCAGCUCGUGUCGUGAGAUGUUGGGUUAAGUCCCGCAACGAGCGCAACCCUUAUCCUCAGUAGCCAGCAGGUAAAGCUGGGCACUCUGUGGAGACUGCCAGGGAUAACCUGGAGGAAGGUGGGGAUGACGUCAAAUCAUCAUGCCCCUUAUGAUCUGGGCUACACACGUGCUACAAUGGCGUAAACAAAGGGAGGCAAAGCCGCGAGGUGGAGCAAAUCCCAAAAAUAACGUCUCAGUUCGGACUGCAGUCUGCAACUCGACUGCACGAAGCUGGAAUCGCUAGUAAUCGCGAAUCAGAAUGUCGCGGUGAAUACGUUCCCGGGUCUUGUACACACCGCCCGUCACACCAUGGGAGUUGGUAACGCCCGAAGUCAGUGACCCAACCGUUUACGGAGGGAGCUGCCGAAGGCGGGACUGAUAACUGGGGUG
rnacentral:rRNA from 1 species